AACGUCGCCGCAGGCGGCGGCCCGCAGGGCGAGGCGCUACGCGCCGAGUCAUCCCCUCCCUCUCCGCCA
rnacentral:sRNA from 1 species